rnacentral:tRNA from 4 species
GCGGAUAUAGAUUAACGGUAGAUUAUCUGCCUUCCAAGCAGAGGAUAUGGGUUCGAUUCCCGUUAUCCGCA